UACGGGGGGAGCAAGCGUUGUUCGGAUUUACUGGGCGUAAAGGGCGCGUAGGCGGCCACCGCAAGUCGACUGUGAAAUCUCCGGGCUUAACCCGGAAAGGUCAGCCGAUACUGCGGGGCUAGAGUGCAGAAGGGGCAACUGGAAUUCUCGGUGUAGCGGUGAAAUGCGUAGAUAUUACAAGGAACACCAAUGGCGAAGGCAGCUUGCUGGGCUACUCCUGACACUGAGGUACGAAAGCGUGGGGAGCGAACAGG
rnacentral:rRNA from 1 species